rnacentral:rRNA from 1 species
UACGUAGGGUGCGAGCGUUAAUCGGAAUUACUGGGCGUAAAGCGUGCGCAGGCGGUGAUGUAAGACAGAUGUGAAAUCCCCGGGCUCAACCUGGGAACUGCAUUUGUGACUGCAUUGCUGGAGUGCGGCAGAGGGGGAUGGAAUUCCGCGUGUAGCAGUGAAAUGCGUAGAUAUGCGGAGGAACACCGAUGGCGAAGGCAAUCCCCUGGGCCUGUACUGACGCUCAUGCACGAAAGCGUGGGGAGCAAACAGG